rnacentral:tRNA from 1 species
UAAGGGUUAGUUUAAUAAAAAAAUUUUGGCCUGUGGAGCCAUAGAUAAUCAGUAAGAUUACCCUUAU